rnacentral:rRNA from 1 species
AUGCCUUGGAAGUACAAAGGAUUUUGCGGAUGUCAUGUAAAAAAUGAAGUUUGUAGAGUUCAGUUAGUGAGGAAAGAAAGAAGAAAUUGUUAUAUCCUUGACCGUAUCUCUGGAUUUUUAUAUUGGCAGACAGUGUACAUUAAACAAUCAAGCACUUCAAUGUUAGAAUCAGAAAGGCUUAAUGGAAGAUAUCAAGCAAUACACGCAGGAAUAUAUACCAUAUAUUGGCCUUGUCAUGGUACUACCAAUGGGCAUGCUGAGCGUUGUCGUGCUGGUUGCUGCUGCACGACGGUGGGGAUGGAGCCAGUGUCACUGAUGAGGCUGGGGAGCGUGUUCCUGGUGCUCAAGUCUGACACCCUGGCCUUGAGCUGCUCAAUCUCAUACACCGCCUCCUCCAGCAGCAGCGUCGGCGCAACGCUGCCAAAGACGGGGCCAUGCGCCAGCAGCACCAUCUGA